GACAUCUCCUUGAAAACAGAAAUGAAUAUGUAACUUCUCUUUCCCACCGAGGCCAUUUUAAACCUCCACACCUCUUAAAUGGGGAUGGCCACAGGCAGCAGCCCAGGUGGUCCACCUUGCUCCCAGGCCUGGCCUGCCAUGUCCCAUGUUCCGCCUUGCUUUUAGGCUUGUAUGUCCACUCAGGGCUGAAUUUGGGCCUCAUAUAAAGAGCUUGCCCAGAUUCUAUAUCUUUCGUUCAAGCCUGGGCCAAGCUAAGAGGUGCAAGGCUGUUUAUAUGACUGUGAUCUCUCCACAUGCUGACCCAUGCAUAGUAAAUAUUUUGAAUUGGCUUUUCAUCUGAAUAUUCAAGGCCUGUUUCAAGAUAGCUGUGGUAAAUGUGUCUACUGGCAAGGAGCCUCAUAAGCCACAUUGGUCAAAUGUCCUCCAUGCAGUAGUCAGGCACUUGCCAAAACCAUUGAUCAGUUGAUCAUGGAAUUUUGGCAUGUUUAUUGCAGAUUGUUGAGUUGCUUGCUCCUUAAAUGUGGACUGUUACUUUGCCAUUGCUCACCUUUUGCACCAUCAGUCCAUCUGUUGACAGGCAGCUGUUUGGAUUACUGGGAUUAUCUCAACUGUCAUGAUUUUUUGGGAAGCGGAUUGGGUACUACCUCUGCCAUUCCUUCUCUAGGAAUGGACAGGGCUUUGAGGCCACCAUGAUGUAUGGGUUUUAUCCACACCGUCCAUCCAUUUUGCCAUAUCAUUUUAGGGUACAAGCCCAAAAAUGGGCGGUUCCAAGGCUCAAGUGGAUCACACAGUGGGGAUUAAACACCUACUAUUGAAAACUUUUUGGGGGCCACAAAAGUUUUGGAUUAAGCUGAUAUUUAUGUUUUCCCUUCGUCCAGGUCUAUGUGACCUUAUGAACAGGUUAGAUGGCAAUUAACCAUCACGGUGGGCCCUGGGAAGGUUUCAACGGUGGGUCUCAUUAUCAUUGCUUCUUCCUAUGGUGUGGUCGACUUGACCCUUGGAUCUGCCUCAUUUUUGGGCUUGCAGCCUAAAAUGAUAUGGCAAAAUGGAUGCACUAUGGAUAAAACCCAUACAUCAUGGUGGCCCAAGUCAAGAUAAGAUUGCUGAUUUUGAGAUGAAGCCCAUGGACAUUGACAAUGAGCAUCUUGGAAUUCUAGAAGCAGAGUAUCAUGCCAUUGUAAAGAUGCCAUCAAAUGCUUAAUUGCCAUAAAAACCAUGGUGAAGUUGGAUAAAGCACUGGUAGAACCGGGUGGUGGGUCUUGCCUUUGCGGCAUUGCAACGGUGUAGGUGAUGUGUGGGUGUUGCAAUGUCAAUGCGGUGGAUGGGGUCUGGCCUUGGUGAAGUUGUUAU